CUGGCCGUAAACGAUGAACACUAGAUGUUGGGGGAAUCGACCCCCUCGGUGUCGUAGCUAACGCGUUAAGUGUUCCGCCUGGGGAGUACGCACGCAAGUGUGAAACUCAAAGGAAUUGACGGGGGCCCGCACAAGCGGUGGAGUAUGUGGUUUAAUUCGAUGCAACGCGAAGAACCUUACCAAGGCUUGACAUCCUGCGAAUCUCCAAGAAAUUGGAGAGUGCCUUUUGGAACGCAGUGACAGGUGGUGCAUGGCUGUCGUCAGCUCGUGUCGUGAGAUGUUGGGUUAAGUCCCGCAACGAGCGCAACCCACGUUUUUAGUUGCCAGCAUUCAGUUGGGCACUCUAGAAAGACUGCCGGUGACAAACCGGAGGAAGGUGUGGACGACGUCAAGUCAUCAUGCCCCUUACGCCUUGGGCUACACACGUACUACAAUGCUGCAGACAAAGAGUAGCGAUCUUGCGAAAGUUAGCUAAUCUCGUAAACCGUGGCUCAGUUCAGAUCGUAGGCUGCAACUCGCCUACGUGAAGGAGGAAUCGCUAGUAAUCGCAGGUCAGCAUACUGCGGUGAAUACGUUCCCGGGCCUUGUACACACCGCCCGUCACACCAUGGAAGUUGGCCAUGCCCGAAGUCGUUACUCUAACCUUUUGGAAGAGGGCGCCGAAGGCAGGGCUAAUGACUGGGGUGAAGUCGUAACAAGGUAGCCGUAGCGGAAGCUGCGGCUGGAUCACCUCCUAA
rnacentral:rRNA from 1 species